rnacentral:rRNA from 1 species
ACGCUCGACACCUACGGGAGCAGCAGUGGGGAAUAUUGCACAAUGGGGAAACCCUGAUGCAGCGACGCCGCGUGGAGGAAGAAGGUCUUCGGAUUGUAAACUCCUGUUGUUGGGGAAAAAGAGGAUGGUACCCAACAAGGAAGUGACGGCUAACUACGUGCCACAGCCGCGGUAAUCUGAGCGGGCUGGCAAGGC